rnacentral:rRNA from 1 species
UACGUAGGGACCGAGCGUUGUCCGGAUUCAUUGGGCGUAAAGAGCUCGUAGGCGGCUGCUCAAGUCGAAUGUGAAAACUCGAGGCUCAACCUCGAGCCUGCAUUCGAUACUGGGCGGCUAGAGUCUGGUAGGGGGGAUCUGGAAUUCCUGGUGUAGCGGUGGAAUGCGCAGAUAUCAGGAGGAACACCAGUGGCGAAGGCGGCUUCCUGGCCUGUUCUUGACGCUGAGGCGCGAAAGCUAGGGGAGCAAACGGG